UGCGGAGUGGAGAAGCUGGUAUCUCGUCAGCCUCAUAAGCUGAAGAUCGCGGGUUCGAGCCCCGCCUCCGCUA
rnacentral:tRNA from 1 species